rnacentral:sRNA from 1 species
UCGAUGCAUGGAGCAUAGUCAGAAUUUUCGAGUAUCUCGCCAAAUUAUAUACUCGCAAAAUAACAGUUGGCUCGCUGAUUGCACACCUGCCUCCAUAUUCCUUAUUCAUCCGUCAUCUGUGUGAAAGGAGUGAAUCUAUGGCGAGAUCAUAUUGGCUCUCCGAACUCGCUCAUGGAUCACCGGCUACCUAUCCUCAACAGACAUCUUUUCAUGGUUCUCUACCGCACUCGAGUUUCACUGUCAGCAAAGAUAUAGAGUUACCCCGGAAAUCUGAGUCAGAUAACGUCACUAUCUCAAAUAUCCUCCGGGCCGCUUGGUCUAUAUUAAUUUCAAAAUACGCUGACUCGAAUGAUAUCGUGAUCGGAGUCACCCUUUCUGGUCGAAAUGCCCCAGUUCCAAAAAUUGCAGAAAUCAUUGGUCCUACUAUAACUACAGUCCCGGUUCGCGUUUGCAUUGACUGGACUGACAACGUACCUAGCUUCCUAUUA